rnacentral:lncRNA from 1 species
UGUGCCGAAUUCUUUGAUAAUGGUAGCCUAUCAUCUGACCUAAUAAUCCUAGCCAUCUCAUUAUCGAUUUUUUUUCUUGCCGCACAAGCUUUUGCCACCGCUGUUGCGCUACUUGACGCGGCUCCUUGGUUGUCACCAUCAAUUCAACCCGCGAAAACUGCCGCCGCCUUGAUUCGUUUCUGUUUGAUGGACAUAAAACUAAAAUAUUUUUUCUCCGUUUCGCAAAUAAGGUCGCCUACUCGUGGAAGGCAAAUUGUUUUGCUUUGCUUACUUAUAAGGUAAUCUGGGAUUUCAGUGAGCGUUAGGAAGUUGAUGACCAAGAUUUUUUAUU